rnacentral:rRNA from 1 species
AACGCUGGCGGUCUGCUUAACACAUGCAAGUCGAACGGGAAUCUUCGGAUUCUAGUGGCGGACGGGUGAGUAACGCGUGAGAAUCUGGCCUCAGGAUGGGGACAACAGCUGGAAACGGCUGCUAAUACCCAAUGUGCCGAGAGGUGAAACUUAUAUGGCCUGAGGAUGAGCUCGCGUCUGAUUAGCUAGUUGGUGGGGUAAGAGCCCACCAAGGCGACGAUCAGUAGCUGGUCUGAGAGGAUGAUCAGCCACACUGGGACUGAGACACGGCCCAGACUCCUACGGGAGGCAGCAGUGGGGAAUUUUCCGCAAUGGGCGAAAGCCUGACGGAGCAAGACCGCGUGGGGGAAGAAGGUUUGUGGAUUGUAAACCCCUUUUGAUUGGGAAGAUGAUGACGGUACCAAUCGAAUCAGCCUCGGCUAACUCCGUGCCAGCAGCCGCGGUAAUACGGAGGAGGCAAGCGUUAUCCGGAAUUAUUGGGCGUAAAGCGUCCGUAGGUGGUGAUUCAAGUCUUUUGUCAAAGCGUGGAGCUUAACUCCAUACGGGCAGGAGAAACUGGGUUGCUAGAGUGCGAUAGGGGCAAGGGGAAUUCCCAGUGUAGCGGUGAAAUGCGUAGAUAUUGGGAAGAACACCGGUGGCGAAAGCGCCUUGCUGGGUCUGCACUGACACUGAGGGACGAAAGCUAGGGGAGCGAAAGGGAUUAGAUACCCCUGUAGUCCUAGCUGUAAACGAUGGGUACUAGGCGUUGUCCGUAUCGACCCGGGCAGUGCCGUAGCUAACGCGUUAAGUACCCCGCCUGGGGUGUACGCUCGCAAGAGUGAAACU